rnacentral:rRNA from 1 species
AGAGUUUGAUCCUGGCUCAGGAUGAACGCUGGCGGCGUGCUUGAUACAUGCAAGUCGAACGAAUCGGCAAAUGGCAGAUGGUUUCCUGAAGUGACUAGCUUGAGAAGUCUUGCGAACCGCGGAUGGUGAUCGGAAGCCAAGCGCCGGUUAGUGGCGGACGGGUGAGUAACACGUGGGUGACCUACCCCGAAGUGGGGAAUAACCGCUCGAAAGAGCAGCUAAUUCCGCAUAUUAUCUGUCAUUCAUUUGGCAGAUCAAAGGCCUCGGUCGCUUUGGGAUGGGCUUGCGUCCGAUUAGCUAGUUGGUGAGGUAACGGCCCACCAAGGCUAUGAUCGGUAGCUGGUCUGAGAGGAUGAUCAGCCACACUAGCACUGACAUACGGGCUAGACUCCUACGGGAGGCAGCAGUAAGGAAUAUUGCACAAUGGGCGAAAGCCUGAUGCAGCAACGCCGCGUGCGCGAUGAAGGCCUUCGGGUCGUAAAGCGCUUUUCCGAGGGAAGAGUGAGGACGGUACCUCGGGAAUAAGUCUCGGCUAACUAUGUGCCAGCAGCCGCGGUAACACGUAGGAGACGAGCGUUAUCCGGAUUUAUUGGGCGUAAAGAGCAUGUAGGCGGGCUCUUAAGUCGGAUGUGAAAUCUCUUGGCUUAACCGGGAGGGGUCAUUCGAUACUGAGAGUCUUGAGGGCAGGAGAGGGAAGUAGAAUUCCCGGUGUAGUGGUGGAAUACGUAGAUAUCGGGAGGAAUACCAGUGGCGAAAGCGGCUUCCUGGCCUGUGCCUGACGCUGAGAUGCGAAAGCGUGGGUAGCAAACGGGAUUAGAUACCCCGGUAGUCCACGCCCUAAACGAUGGAUACUAGGUGUUGGUGGUCUUUACCCCACCAGUGCCGAAGCAAACGCGAUAAGUAUCCCGCCUGGGGACUACGGUCGCAAGACUAAAACUCAAAGGAAUUGACGGGGACCCGCACAAGCAGCGGAGCGUGUGGUUUAAUUCGAGGCUACACGAAGAACCUUACCUGGGUUUGACAUGCUGGUGGUAGCGACGCGAAAGCCGAGCGACCCUUCGGGGAGCCAGCACAGGUGCUGCAUGGUUGUCGUCAGCUCGUGCCGUGAGGUGUUAGGUUAAGUCCUGCAACGAGCGCAACCCUUUCCGUUAGUUAAACCUCUCUAGCGGGACUUCCGGGGUAACCCGGAGGAAGGUGGGGAUGACGUCAAAUCAGCAUGGCCUUUAUAUCCAGGGCUACACACACGCUACAAUGGUCGGCACAGUGGGCAGCAAUACCGCGAGGUGGAGCCAAUCCUCAAAGCCGGCCCCAGUUCAGAUUGGAGGCUGCAACCCGCCUCCAUGAAGUCGGAGUUGCUAGUAACCGCAGGUCAGCUAUACUGCGGUGAAUACGUUCCCGGGUCUUGUACACACCGCCCGUCACGUCAUGGAAGUCGGUAACACCUGAAGCCGGCAGGCUAACCGUAAGGAGGCAGCCGUUGAGGGUGGGACUGGUAACUGGGACGAAGUCGUAACAAGGUA